rnacentral:misc_RNA from 1 species
GAUGAAGAACGCAGCGAAAUGCGAUACGUAGUGUGAAUUGCAGAAUUCAGUGAAUCAUCGAAUCUUUGAACGCACAUUGCACCUCUCGGUAUUCCGGGAGGUAUGCCUGUUCGAGCGUCAUUUGUACCCUCAAGCUCUGCUUGGUGUUGGGUGUUUGUUCCGCCUCUCUGUGUGAACUCGCCUCAAAACAAUUGGCAGCCGGCGUACUUGUUUCGGAGCGCAGCACAUUUUGCGAUCCAGAUCAACGUACAGCGGCAUCCAAGAAGCCUUAUUUAACGCUCUUGACCUCGGAUCAGGUAGGGAUACCCGCUGAACUUAAGCAUAUCAAUAAGCGGAGGA